rnacentral:lncRNA from 1 species
CGUCAUCACCCCUCCCUCAACGAAGUCGGGCAAACCUUAUUGUAAUAGAUAGUCAGCAAAUCAUCGUGUUAAGAUCCCACAAGACCAAUGCAUUAAAGUAGCAAUCAUCGUCUAUAAAGAAAGUCAUAGGUCAGAAGGAUCAAACCUGUAAAUACCCAAACAAAGACGAACAAAGAUCGAAUCCAAACACAUCCAUCAAAGACUAGUGCCGAUCUGCGAGAUCCGAUGAUGACACACCUCUACAUGCCCUUCAAUGAUGUUAAACGCGCCAUCGGUAUAGAUCCAGAACAUGGGCGACAUUAUUCCUACUAAGGAACAUCGCUACCGCCACACAACCCCAACCAACAUGCCGAACCUAACAAGAAUGAGAACGGGCCCCUCCCACCGGUGGGGGCCAAGAUCUCAUCCAUGUCCUAGAGGCCAUCGAAGAUGGGGCGGACCGACGGCGCGGCACCGACGAGAGGAGAAGAGAUUUUCUUGUGAAGAAAGAAAGAGAUGUUGGCCUUGCAACUUUGCGACCUACCACCUACCUGUUUACUGCCCCUUCGUAUUCUAGGUCAUAUUUUAACCAGAAUUUGAACUAAUAAAAUAUAUAGCAAAAAUAAUACUCUUGGGAACUAUAUUCAAAUACAAAACAAACAAUAUAAUUUUUGGUGACAUUCAUUAAUAUUUUGCUAGUUAAAUAUGCGGUCAAAAUUUAAUCGAAAAUAUGAUAGAGACUAGUAAAACAGGACAAAUGUAGUACUCCCUGUGUACGAAAGUAAUUAUAGUUGAAGAGAACUAGAUUAGUUGUCCUUAACUAUAAUUAUUUUGAUACACAUGACGUCUAAAGAUUUCACUACGGAUUACAUAUGAAUGUAUAUAGACAUACAUUAGAUGUAGAUUUACUCAUUUUAUUUCGUAUGUAGUCUCUAAUGAAAUUUUCAAAAAGAUUUAUAUUUAAAAACGGUGGGAGUAGUUUUUAGGGAUGUUUUGCUAUGUAAACGGUGGGAGUAGUUUUUAGGAAUCUUUUGCUACGAAUGAUCAGUGUACUCCAAUUGGAUGACUGGCUGGCUGUCCAGAUAUUAAGGACAGUAAAACUGCACCUAAUCCCUGCCCUCUCAGCUAUUAGACAUUUCUGGCCGUCUAUUUUUAUGAUCUUUGCAUUUUGGCCGUCUGAUCUGUUGUUAGAUCGCGCCUGUGUCACGUAAUUACAGAAUCAUGGGCAAGCUGUCCUGAAGGCAGCUAUUCCACAGGCCGAAAUAGAGCCCAUAGGUUAAUUGGGCCCUCUCUCUCUCCACCGCACGGCUCAUCCUGUGAAUCUCAUGAUCGAUGACGCCUCUACGAAGGAGAAAAAAACAUACAAACUCUUUCUUUUCUUCUCCAACCUCUGCUCUCUCACGAGGCUGCAAACCCUAGCUGCCCCCAUCGCCGCCAGAUCCUAUUGCUCUUCCCAACCCCCUACGGGUGGAAAUUGUUCGAUUGGCAUUGGAGGCGAUCUGGAUCAGGGGGUGGUGCGACGUGGCAUCUACCGCGUCGUUGACGAUCGGUCUUGGCUGCAUGGUGUAGCAAAGUCUUGGUGUUGGAUGUGUCUUGAUGGCGUGCGUAGAGAGAUGGUGUUGUCUCGCGUCGUGGUGACGUCGACAACAGGCCUGACAUGAUCGAAGAUGGAUCUGUGGAAGACGGCGGCAGCGGACUCUGAGAGUGUGCCAGACCGGUGCAUGCCUUAAAUCGGCAAGCGGCUUGGUUGAGGCCUUCAGCUUUAGAUGUUAGGCUUUGGUGCGAGGUCUAUUUGGUAUUCGGCUCGAACUAUUGACACCCCUUCAUUGACUGGAUAGGAGUAGCGACAGAUGUUGUGAAUAUGGUGGCUUCAGACUUAUUAAUGUGUUACUUAUGAGAUUUUUAUAAAUAUUUAAUAAAAUGACUGCAUGCAUCGUCUAGAUGCAAAGGCUAGGGCUCCCAAGACGACGCCUUCAAAAAGGGAAUGAUGCCAAUGACACCGUCGUCGCCCACCGCAGUUAGGGCUUUCACCCGGGAGACAAAAGGGCGUGGUGGACUUAUAGGCAGAUUCGACGAAUGUCUCCUUGGAGAAGAAACGGCGCCCUCGGGCAUCGCCGUCGUCAUCGCCCACCAGGGCCGACAAAGGAUUUCUCUCGAUCUGAAUCCCACCUCCAGCUCCAUCUGAAUCGAGGACCAGCACGACCCAAAUCCGUACAAAGAAAAGCACACCAAGCAUGGGGGAGGAGGCGACCAAAUCCACCACCAUCCGUGUCACCUGCAGCCGUCAGGAUCCAGAUCCAACCGCCACCCUAUCUGAAGGCCCGACCACGUCCAACACACCCCACCAAAGAGAUCACGUAGCCGUCAUGAAGCCGUCCCGCUGCCGAGCCCCACGCCGAGCCCGACGCCCCUGUUGGCUAGCACAAACCCGCGCCGUCGGCACCAAGCAAGGAGGACAGAAGGUCCCCGCCGCGGCACACACCAACCGGGCUUCGCCCAGGCGGCGGGAGGGGGAAGGAGGAGGUCGAGGGAGAGGGAGGAAACCGGCGGAGAGAGGCCUGUCCGGCCGCCGAGCGGGGGCGACGCGGACGAGCAGGAGGAGUCCACAAAUAUGCACGAAUGUGUUUGUCAUUUAUAUUUAUCUUUUCUCUGGCUCUCUUUUUUUUUAGGGUUCUCUAGCUCUCUUCAACUCAUUAAUUAUAUUGUAUGCAUAUGACCAGAUAGUUUAAGAAAAACUGCACACAUGGAUAAAUAAGGAUUCAAUUAAAAAAUUGAAAGUGGACACCUCCGAACAUUGGUUGGAGAUGCUCUAAACUGGUUAAAGAGGUGUUGUAAACGAAAAUUGCGUUUCCUGGCCGAGCUUCAUGGAGGCCUUUAAAUUUAAAAUUCAAAUUUUAUUAAAAUUCAUAUUUUUACAUUUUAAAAAAUUCUAAAAACAAAUACAGGGAUAAGUGAAGGCGUAACACACGUGUGUGUAAAUUUUUAGAAAAAAUACAUUGAAACGAGGGCUGUGUAAAAAAGACAAAUCUGAGGCUUUUUUACACAUGAUAUUAUUCAUCGUUUCAUGUCAUGAAUUUGUUUUUUUGUGCAGAUUGUAUUUCAAAAUAUUUCAUCCUAAAUUUUUACACACAUACACAUAACAUCCUUCUUUACUUCAUAUUCUUUUUCAGAUUUUUUUGAAACCGAAAAGUUUGAAUUUUGAAUUAUUCAAAAAUUUAGGCCUUCAUAGAGGCCGAGCUCCAAACGUCCGCACUCUGUUGUAGAGUAAUAAAAAGCUGCUCCAAACGUAAAUUACCGGAGGAAUCCUUCGUUCGCAGCUCCGCCCAGUUGGUGCAGCUUGGCUGCUUCAGGUAGAACGCAUCCAGGACCUCCACGGAAUCGCAGGCCGGGCUCCUGCUCCCCACGCCGAACCGCACCGGCGCAGGCGCCAUCGCGGCGGCAGCUGGCGACGCGCCGUCGACGGCGAUGCUCCAAAGCGUGAGCAAAGAGAGGAACACGAGCAAGCUCCUUGUCGCCGGCAACUCCAUGCGCGAGGCUAAGAACUCACCGGUAUUACGUACUAGUACUACUUAACUGGGGGUAAAUUACUGGUUCAUCAGUGGUUUAUCUAGGUCGACAUGUCCAUAGCACGUAGCCAUCAACCGACGUACGUGAAGUAGUGGCGGGCCGGAUGGCCAUACAGCUUGCUGCGGCCAAAUUUCCGGGAAACUUCCGAGAGCUAGCACGAUGACUUUCCAG